CCCACCACCGCGGGCGGGCAGCGCCGCGCCGCCCGCCUGCGGUGGUCGCGGGCGUUCCGCUCAGUGCCCGCGGGCGAUCCACUCGUCGAGGUGGGG
rnacentral:tRNA from 1 species